rnacentral:rRNA from 1 species
CCUACGGGCGGCAGCAGUGAGGAAUAUUGGUCAAUGGGCGCAAGCCUGAACCAGCCAAGUCGCGUGAAGGAUGACUGCCCUACGGGUUGUAAACUUCUUUUAUAAAGGAAUAAAGUGAGGCACGUGUGCCCUUUUGUAUGUACUUUAUGAAUAAGGAUCGGCUAACUCCGUGCCAGAGGCCGCGGUAAUACGGAGGAUCCGGGCGUUAUCCGGAUUUAUUGGGUUGAAAGGGCGCGUAGAUGGGUUGUUAAGUCAGUUGUGAAAGUUUGCGGCUCAACCGUAAAAUUGCAAUUGAUACUGGAAGCCUGGAGUACAGUUGAGGUAGGCGGAAUUCGUGGUGUAGCGGUGAAAUGCUUAGAUAUCACGAAGAACUCCGAUUGCGAAGGCAGCUUACUAAACUGCCACUGACAUUGAUGCUCGAAAGUGUGGGUAUCAAACAGGAUUAGAUACCCGGGUAGUC